rnacentral:rRNA from 1 species
AUCAACGCUGGCGGCGUGCCUAACACAUGCAAGUCGAGCGCGAAAGGGGAGCAAUCCCCAAGUAGAGCGGCGAACGGGUGAGUAACGCGUGGGUAAUCUGCCUCCGAGUGGGGAACAACACCGGGAAACUGGUGCUAAUACCGCAUGACAUCGUUGGACCUUCGGAUCUGACGAUCAAAGCCGGGGACCGCAAGGCCUGGCGCUUGGAGAGGAGCCCGCGUCCGAUUAGCAGUUGGUGGGGUAAUGGCCCACCAAGGCUACGAUCGGUAGCCGGCCUGAGAGGGCGGACGGCCACACUGGGACUGAGACACGGCCCAGACUCCUACGGGAGGCAGCAGUGGGGAAUUUUUCGCAAUGGGCGAAAGCCUGACGAAGCAACGCCGCGUGGAGGAUGAAGGCC